rnacentral:lncRNA from 1 species
CCCUGCUCCCAUUGCCCUUCCAACAUUGGCAACACAGACCUUGUGCUUCAGUCACCUUUGCAGGGGAGAAUUCAGGCUUAUGCUGGGAGACGCAUGCUCAGAAGGAGAUGACAACGCACGGAAGUGGCAGGGCACCAAAAGCCCACGGGGUGCCUGGGGACGAGGGCUAUUUGCGGAACUAGAGACAUGCCAAGAAAAGGUGUGUCUGAUCUGCUGCCUCACUCCUCUGCCCGUACACGCCUGCGUGAGCCUGGUAUGCACACUACAGCAUCCAGCAGAGAAGGCUGAAAAGUUUUGCAGUGGUCACCUUCUAAGGAUGGAAUUAUAAGACACAGAUCAGAUGAGGUGAAGCAGCACAGAGUCCUGCAGAGCCUGGCUUUUCGACGUGGGCAUUUUGUUCUUUGUGCAGCAUCUCCCAGAAGCACACGCUGAAGACUUCCCUGUAAUGUGACCUCUGAAGGACAAAGUGAUCCUGGGAUCGGGGCAGAAAGCUGAAUCUGGGAGUAAAACUGCUCCAUGAGGCUAUGAGAGGAAUUCUAUAGGUUCCAUAUAUCAUUGCAAUAGUAAAUUUGUUGCUGCUAUUGUAUUUGGAAGGCGACACGAGAGCAGAGAAAGCAAGCUCUCUGAGAUGCUUUGUAAAAGUGCCGCCUGGCUCCAUCUGCAGGUGGCAGCUGAGAUGACAGCCACGCUCGGUUUGGAGGCAGACUCCACGCAGCUGGAAGCAGAGCAAGAAGCUGCUUCUCAGCCCUGCACAGAAAACUCGCCCACUGAAAGUGAAUCUCCACUCUUUUAUGGCUUCUCUCUCUAAAAGUAAAGAUUGUUGGGUCUGUGCUGAUUUUGUGCAUUUGGACUUUUGGAAUAGCCCCACUCUCCCUUGGUUUUCCUGGGGGGUGCCCUGGAGCUUGGCUGGAAAAGUUCAGGGUUCCCAUGUGUGAUAUGCAGUGAACAAACUGAUGAGCAGGGCAUGAGGAGUUUGGGGUUUGGCUCCACACCUGAGCUGGGAUGGUUGUUGGGGGCUGUUGGUGUUGGCUCUGGGGGCCCACAGCUGCUGCCUGUUCCCUUCCCUUCCCAGUAACGUUCCUGCA